rnacentral:rRNA from 1 species
CCUACGGGAGGCAGCAGUGAGGAAUAUUGGUCAAUGGCCGGAAGGCUGAACCAGCCAAGUCGCGUGAGGGACGACUGCCCUAUGGGUUGUAAACCUCUUUUAUAAGGGAAGAAUAAAUGCUACGUGUAGCCUUAUGCCUGUACCUUAUGAAUAAGCAUCGGCUAACUCCGUGCCAGCAGCCGCGGUAAUACGGAGGAUGCGAGCGUUAUCCGGAUUUAUUGGGUUUAAAGGGUGCGUGGGCGGUUUUUUAAGUUAGUGGUUAAACGUCGGGGCUUCACCUUGAUUUGCCAUUAAUACUGUAAGACGCGAGGUGAGACGAGGUAGGCGGAAUAAGUUAAGUAGCGGGGAAAUGCUUAGAUAUAACUUAGAACUCCGAUAGCGAAGGCAGCUUACCAGGCGGAGACUGACGCUGAAGAACGAGAGCGUGGGUAGCGAACAGGAUUAGAUACCCCGUAGUC